UCUUGAGUACAGUGGAAGUGGGCGGAAUGUUAUCCAUGUAGGCGGUGAAAUGGCAUAGAUAUGAUACAGAACACCGAUAGCGAAAGCAGCCUCCGCUAUACCUGUAACUGACCGCUUCAGGGCACGAAAGGCGGUGGGGAGGCAAACCAGGAUUAGAUUACCCCCUGGUUAGUCCCACGCCCGUAAACGAUGAUCCACUCCGUUGUUGGCGAUACCACAGUCAGCGACUGAAACGAAAGCCAUUAAGUGAUCCCACCUGGGAAGUACGAUCCGCAAGGGUUGAAACUCAAAGGAAUUGACGGGGGCCCGCACAAGUCGGAGGAGCCAUGUGGUUUAAUUCGAUGAUACGCGAGGAACCUUACCUGGGCUUAAAUGUAGGACGACCGUCCCGUGAAAACGGACUUUCCCUUCGGGACGGCUUGCAAGGUGCUGCAUGGUUGUCGUCAGCUCGUGCCGUGAGGUGUCGGGUUAAGUCCCAUAACGAGCGCAACCCCUAUUCUUAGUUGCCAUCAGGUAAUGCUGGGGACUCUAAGAAAACUGCCUACGCAAGUAGUGAGGAAGGUGGGGAUGACGUCAAAUCAGCACGGCCCUUAUGUCCCAGGGCUACACA
rnacentral:rRNA from 1 species